rnacentral:rRNA from 1 species
UAGGGAAUCUUCCACAAUGGGCGAAAGCCUGAUGGAGCAACGCCGCGUGUGUGAUGAAGGGUUUCGGCUCGUAAAACACUGUUGUAAGAGAAGAAUGACAUUGAGAGUAACUGUUCAAUGUGUGACGGUAUCUUACCAGAAAGGAACGGCUAAAAUACGUGCAG